rnacentral:rRNA from 1 species
UACGUAGGAUGCAAGCGUUAAUCGGAAUUACUGGGCGUAAAGCGUGCGCAGGCGGUUUUGUAAGUCUGUUGUGAAAUCCCCGGGCUCAACCUGGGAAUGGCAAUGGAGACUGCAAGGCUAGAGUUUGGCAGAGGGGGGGUAGAAUUCCACGUGUAGCAGUGAAAUGCGUAGAUAUGUGGAGGAACACCGAUGGCGAAGGCAGCCCCCUGGGUCAAAACUGACGCUCAUGCACGAAAGCGUGGGGAGCAAACAGG